rnacentral:tRNA from 1 species
UUCCUCAUGGCCCAAUGGUCAAGGCGUCUGACUACGGAUCAGAAGAUUCCAGGUUCGAGUCCUGGUGGGGAAG